UACGUAGGGUGCGAGCGUUGUCCGGAAUUAUUGGGCGUAAAGGGCUCGUAGGCGGUUUGUCGCGUCGGGAGUGAAAACCUCGGGCUUAACUCGGGGCUUGCUUUCGAUACGGGCGGGCUGGAGUUCGGUAGGGGAGACUGGAAUUCCUGGUGUAGCGGUGAAAUGCGCAGAUAUCAGGAGGAACACCGGUGGCGAAGGCGGGUCUCUGGGCCGAUACUGACGCUGAGGAGCGAAAGCGUGGGGAGCGAACAGG
rnacentral:rRNA from 1 species